CUCUUCUUCACUCUUGUGCUGGUUCUGGAGAUUGAGAAGUCAAGAGCAUGGCACUGGCAUCUAGUGAGGGUCUUCAUGCUGCAUCAUCCCCUGGUGGAAGGCGGAAGAGCAAGGCUGAGGGCAACCAAAGACUGUGUGUCCAUCAGAGCUUCAGUGAGAUGAUGAGGCCUGUGGUGCGGUGGUCCAUUGGGAUCAAUCACAAACCUUCCCCUGCCUGGGCAGAGGACUGCCAACUCCAGCUGACACAGAACAUUGCCCUCCAAUCUAGCUCUCAACCCCACCUCCUACAUCAGGAGCUGUUUGCCUUCCUGUGACAAAUCAGCUGGCAUCUGGGAGCAAAGAUCACAAAAAGGAGAGAGAGGAUAGGGGAGCAAAGACGACAAGGAGGAGAGGGGAGGGAUAUGGGGUUGGGUUGAGAAGGUUACAUGGGCCUCUGAUUGCUUCAGGCAGAGAGCAGUGAGUUAAAUUAAAGCCACCUUUAUUAGAAUCAGAUUGUUGCUCCACUCCCAUACUUACCUGACAGUGACUUUAGC
rnacentral:lncRNA from 1 species